AAAUUGAAGAGUUUGAUCAUGGCUCAGAUUGAAUGCUGGCGGCAGGCCUAACACAUGCAAGUCGAACGGUAACAGGAAACAGCUUGCUGUUUCGCUGACGAGUGGCGGACGGGUGAGUAAUGUCUGGGAAACUGCCUGAUGGAGGGGGAUAACUACUGGAAACGGUAGCUAAUACCGCAUAACGUCGCAAGACCAAAGAGGGGGACCUUCGGGCCUCUUGCCAUCGGAUGUGCCCAGAUGGGAUUAGCUAGUAGGUGGGGUAACGGCUCACCUAGGCGACGAUCCCUAGCUGGUCUGAGAGGAUGA
rnacentral:rRNA from 1 species